GGGACCCCAAAUACCCCCAUGAGACCCCAAAGGGGACCCCAAAAGGGACCCCAAAUGCCCCCAUGGGACCCCAAAAUGACAUCUGGGACCCCAAAUGCCCCCAUGGGACCCCAAAACUGACAUCUGGGACCCCAAAAGGGAACCCAAACAGACCCCAAAUGCCCCCAUGGGACCCCAAAAUCCCACACGGGGACCCAAAAUCCCACACGGGGACCCCAAAAAUGGCGGCGGGGACCCCAAAUGCUCCCAUGAGACCCCAAAAGGGACCCCAAAAGGGACCCCAAAAGGGAUCCCAAAUCCCACACGGGGACCCCAAAAAUGGCAUCUGGACCCCAAAUCGCCCCAUGGGACCCCAAAAGGGACCCCAAAAGGGACCCCAAAGUGACCCCAAAUCCCACACGGGGACCCCAAAAAUGGCAUCUGGGACCCCAAAAAUGACAUCUGGGACCCCAAAAGGGACCCCAAACAGACCCAAAAAUCCCACACGGGGACCCAAAAUCCCACACGGGGACCCCAAAUCCCACACGGGGACCCCAAAUGCCCCCAUGAGACCCCAAAAGGGACCCCAAAAGGGACCCCAAAAGGGACCCCAAAUGCCCCCAUGGGACCCCAAAAAUGACAUCUGGAACCCCAAAAAUGGCGGAAGGGACCCCAAAUGCCCCCAUGAGACCCCAAAAGGGACCCCAAAAGGGACCCCAAAUCCCACACGGGGACCCCAAAAAUGGCGGCGGGGACCCCAAAUGCCCCCAUGGGACCCCAAAAAUCCCACAUGGGGACCCCAAAAAUGGCAGAAGGGACCCCAAAUGCGCCCAUGAGACCCCAAAAGGACCCCAAAAGUGCCCCCAAAUGCCCCCAUGGGACCCCAAAACUGACAUCUGGGACCCCAAAUGCCCCCAUGGGACCCCAAAAUCCCACACGGGGACCCAAAAUCCCACACGGGGACCCCAAAAUCCCACACGGAGACCCCAAAUGCCCCCAUGAGACCCCAAAAGGGACCCCAAAAGGGACCCCAAAGUGACCCCAAAUCCCACACGGGGACCCCAAAAAUGGCAUCUGGGACCCCAAAUGCCCCCAUGGGACCCCAAAAGGGACCCCAAAAGGGACCCCAAAUCCCACACGGGGACCCCAAAAAUGGCGGCGGGGACCCCAAAUGCCCCCAUGAGACCCCAAAG
ensembl:lncRNA